UGGGGAAUAUUGCACAAUGGGCGCAAGCCUGAUGCAGCCAUGCCGCGUGUGUGAAGAAGGCCUUCGGGUUGUAAAGCACUUUCAGCGGGGAGGAAGGCGAUAAGGUUCAUAACCUUGUCGAUUGACGUUACCCGCAGAAGAAGCACCGGCUAACUCCGUGCCAGCAGCCGCGGUAAUACGGAGGGUGCAAGCGUUAAUCUGAAUUACUGGGCGUAAAGCGCACGCAGGCGGUCUGUCAAGUCGGAUGUGAAAACCCCGGGCUUAACCUGGUAACUGCAUUCGAAGCUGGCAGGCUAGAGUCUUGUAGAGGGGGGUAGAAUUCCAGGUGUAGCGGUGAAAUACGUAGAGAUCUGGGGGAAUACCGGUGGCGAGGGCGGCCCCCUGGACGAAGACUGACGCUCAGGUGCGAAAGCGUGGGGAGCAAACAGG
rnacentral:rRNA from 1 species